AAUGUUCCUUCUAACAAACAACUGAAAUGAAAUUCUACCAUGUUCCAUAGCACAGUAGGGGGAUGACAGAAUACAUUUGUUUUCAAGUUUGAAGAGGGCUAGGGGAACAGCCUAAGUGGUAGAGCACUUGGCUGACAUGCGUGACGCCUUG